GGAGGGUUGGCCGAGUGGUUGAUGGCGGCAGUCUUGAAAACUGUUGACCUUAACGGGUUCGGGGGUUCGAAUCCCUCACCCUCCGCAA
rnacentral:tRNA from 1 species